GUUGUAGCUCAGUGGUAGAGCACAUGCCUAGCAUGUGUGAGGCACUGGGUUCUAUUCUUAGCAUCACA
rnacentral:tRNA from 1 species